rnacentral:rRNA from 1 species
GACGAACCGUGCGAACGUUAUUCGGAAUCACUGGGCUUAAAGCGCGUGUAGGCGGGGUGGCACGUCCGUCGCUGAAAUCCCCCGGCUCAACCGGGGAACGGGCGCGGAUACGACCAUCCUCGAGGGACGUAGGGGGACCUGGAACUUCCGGUGGAGCAGUGAAAUGCAUUGAGAUCGGAAAGAACACCAACGGCGACAGCACUCUGCUGGGCCGACACUGACACUGAGAGACGAAAGCUAGGGGAGCAAAUGGG